AACUGGGACAUUUUUUUUUGGUGCGGCUUUGGUUUCGUCAGCCUGCCUCCCCACGCCAUGAGCCUGGGCGAGAGCAAUCCCCUCCCCCUUUCCUAUUGCGUCCGCGUGAGCGCCGUGAUCGAUCCCCGCGCCCGAUCCCCUUCCUGGACGAGAGCGGCCGCGUCCCGAUCCCCUCCCUGCACGAGAGCGAUCUCGCGCCCUGAUCCCCUCCGUGGACGACCUUCGGGACCGCCGCCACCUCCCUAGAUGACCGCGGCCACGAGCGUCCGCGCUCGCACCGUCGGGCCCUGGAGCAGCCGCGACCCGAUCCCCUCCCUGGACGACCGCCGAGACCGCGGCCAUGGACGACCGUCGCGACCGCGGCCACAAGCGUCUGCGCUCGCACUGUCUGUCCCUGGAGCGGCCGCGCCCCGAUCGAUUCGUUCUCGCACCGUCGCCAGCCAUUGCCCUUGCCCUCACGCCACCCUUGCGAAUCCUCGUCCUCACCCUCGUGCCGCAGUCACCAGCCAUUGCCCUCGUGGACUCCGAUGUGGCAAUGGUCGACUGCAACGCCGAGUGGGCGGCCCUUGCUGCCAUGGCCACCACAGUGCCAGCUCCCGCACCCAUCCAGGCAAUCACAAUUCAACAGAGGGAGGGCAUGGAAACAUUUUGGAUGGAGCUACCAAGGUUGAUACUACUCUUUAGAAUUACAAAUCUCUCAAGCUUGUGCAGCACAGAUCCAUGCAUGGGAUGCCAUCCGCGAGCACCGUCACCUCCCGUCCCUAUCUGGUUGUCUAUCUGGCGCUUGUGGUGGAGGCCGAGACUGUAGCUGCUGCAACGGAGGACGAUGGUAUCCCCAUGGUGGACCUGCUGUCACUGUGCGACCACCACGACCCUUAAGGCCUUCGAGCUUAGCUCGGAGUCACUCCAGACAUUCACGAUCCAUAGAUGCCCGCUCUAUUCUCGUUUGAUUUCUUUUUUAUAUAUGUUUCAUCAGGUGAAUUCAUGAUCGUCCUGGUCAGAAUUUCGCUACUAUUGCUGCUCAUCGUGGCUCGUCUUCCGCAUCCAUGUCUUGACUGCCUCCAUCAUAUUUGUAAGCCAACGAUGUUGUGCUCUCUGUAACUGUGAUUUCACGAUGAUUUUUAAUUAAAUGUCACUUUAACAUCAGUAUUUAAUUUCAUAACAUUAUUA